rnacentral:rRNA from 1 species
GGACUACCAGGGUAUCUAAUCCUGUUUGCUCCCCACGCUUUCGUGCAUGAGCGUCAGUGUUAUCCCAGGGGGCUGCCUUCGCCAUCGGUGUUCCUCCACAUCUCUACGCAUUUCACUGCUACACGUGGAAUUCUACCCCCCUCUGACACACUCCAGCCGGCCAGUCUCAACUGCCAUUCCCAGGUUAAGCCCGGGGAUUUCACAGCUGACUUAGCCAACCGCCUGCGCACGCUUUACGCCCAGUAAUUCCGAUUAACGCUUGCACCCUACGUAUUACCGCGGCUGCUGGCAC